ACGAACGCUGGCGGCGUGCUUAACACAUGCAAGUCGAACGGAAAGGCCCUGCUUUUGUGGGGUGCUCGAGUGGCGAACGGGUGAGUAACACGUGAGUAACCUGCCCUUGACUUUGGGAUAACUUCAGGAAACUGGGGCUAAUACCGGAUAGGAGCUCCUGCUGCAUGGUGGGGGUUGGAAAGUUUCGGCGGUUGGGGAUGGACUCGCGGCUUAUCAGCUUGUUGGUGGGGUAGUGGCUUACCAAGGCUUUGACGGGUAGCCGGCCUGAGAGGGUGACCGGCCACAUUGGGACUGAGAUACGGCCCAGACUCCUACGGGAGGCAGCAGUGGGGAAUAUUGCACAAUGGGCGGAAGCCUGAUGCAGCAACGCCGCGUGCGGGAUGACGGCCUUCGGGUUGUAAACCGCUUUCGCCUGUGACGAAGCGUGAGUGACGGUAAUGGGUAAAGAAGCACCGGCUAACUACGUGCCAGCAGCCGCGGUGAUACGUAGGGUGCGAGCGUUGUCCGGAUUUAUUGGGCGUAAAGGGCUCGUAGGUGGUUGAUCGCGUCGGAAGUGUAAUCUUGGGGCUUAACCCUGAGCGUGCUUUCGAUACGGGUUGACUUGAGGAAGGUAGGGGAGAAUGGAAUUCCUGGUGGAGCGGUGGAAUGCGCAGAUAUCAGGAGGAACACCAGUGGCGAAGGCGGUUCUCUGGGCCUUUCCUGACGCUGAGGAGCGAAAGCGUGGGGAGCGAACAGGCUUAGAUACCCUGGUAGUCCACGCUGUAAACGGUGGGUACUAGGUGUGGGGUCCAUUCCACGGGUUCCGUGCCGUAGCUAACGCUUUAAGUACCCCGCCUGGGGAGUACGGCCGCAAGGCUAAAACUCAAAGGAAUUGACGGGGCCCCGCACAAGCGGCGGAGCAUGCGGAUUAAUUCGAUGCAACGCGUAGAACCUUACCUGGGUUUGACAUGGAUCGGGAGUGCUCAGAGAUGGGUGUGCCUCUUUUGGGGUCGGUUCACAGGUGGUGCAUGGCUGUCGUCAGCUCGUGUCGUGAGAUGUUGGGUUAAGUCCCGCAACGAGCGCAACCCUUGUUCACUGUUGCCAGCACGUUAUGGUGGGGACUCAGUGGAGACCGCCGGGGUCAACUCGGAGGAAGGUGGGGAUGACGUCAAGUCAUCAUGCCCCUUAUGUCCAGGGCUUCACGCAUGCUACAAUGGCUGGUACAGAGAGUGGCGAGCCUGUGAGGGUGAGCGAAUCUCGGAAAGCCGGUCUCAGUUCGGAUUGGGGUCUGCAACUCGACCUCAUGAAGUCGGAGUCGCUAGUAAUCGCAGAUCAGCAACGCUGCGGUGAAUACGCUCCCGGGGCUUGUACACACCGCCCGUCAAGUCAUGAAAGUUGGUAACACCCGAAGCCGGUGGCCUAACCGUUGUGGGGGAGCCGUCGAAGGUG
rnacentral:rRNA from 1 species